ensembl:lncRNA
AUCUAGUCUCUGUAUAUCUAUGGUCGGCACGUCUGGUAGCAUCUCUGGCUGCUGUUGACAUUGUUUUUGGAGUCAAAUACGGUGGAAGCUGAAUUAGUGAGGAUGACUCCUGCUCCUGUCAUCUCUAAGCUCCUCACACAUCUUUACCUGCACAUGAGGAAAAUCACUCCUGUAGAAUGCAGAUGCACAAUGAGGGACGUCUGCAGCGACUGAGAAAGAGUCUCACCACAUCCUGACAUGAGGAAAAAGACUUUAUUGAAGACUACAAUGAGAAAAACUAUCAGACAGCAGACGGCUGCAUUCAAGUCUGUAGCUGCUGAAUUCAUGGAUGAAUCAUCUGGCACUAGAGAGGAAGACCAUCAAACAUCCACGUCAGCUGAUGGAGGUCCAAGAGUCUCACCAAACAACCAACCUACAGAGUGAAGACCUCGAAUCUGAUUGGACGGCCUCCUAUUCAGCCACAUGUGUGAACAAAUGCCUCUAAGUUGAUUUGUUUUCUAAAAUAAAUCUAGUUUGAGUCCUAAUCUAUGCCUUUGUUUUUGCUUCUUUACACUGCUGUUAACAGUUUAGGCUGUUAGAUUGUUCCAGAUAAGACAAGUACAAGAUUCUUCAGAGCCGUUCUACCACGAGCCUGACAGGAAGAACUCCAACAGCUACUGAAUGUUCCUGUGGUCCCCUCAAG